GAUGAACGCUGGCGGCGUGCCUAAUACAUGCAAGUCGAGCGAACAGAUAAGGAGCUUGCUCCUUUGACGUUAGCGGCGGACGGGUGAGUAACACGUGGAUAACCUACCUAUAAGACUGGGAUAACUUCGGGAAACCGGAGCUAAUACCGGAUAACAUAUUGAACCGCAUGGUUCAAUAGUGAAAGGCGGCUUUGCUGUCACUUAUAGAUGGAUCCGCGCCGUAUUAGCUAGUUGGUAAGGUAACGGCUUACCAAGGCAACGAUACGUAGCCGACCUGAGAGGGUGAUCGGCCACACUGGAACUGAGACACGGUCCAGACCCCGACGGGAGGCAGCAGUAGGGAAUCUUCCGCAAUGGGCGAAAGCCUGACGGAGCAACGCCGCGUGAGUGAUGAAGGUCUUCGGAUCGUAAAACUCUGUUAUCAGGGAAGAACAAAUGUGUAAGUAACUGUGCACAUCUUGACGGUACCUGAUCAGAAAGCCACGGCUAACUACGUG
rnacentral:rRNA from 1 species